UCCAGCGGGUGUGGGGCGCAGACCGACCUUGCCCGCUCCUGGCCUCUGCAGCUCUGGCUGCGGCGGAGUGGCGCUUCAACUCCACAGGUAUCUGCCCCGCCAGGUGAAUGCUCUGCUUGAUGUGACUACAAGAUGUCACAACAGGACUGGAAAGAGUCCAAUAGCAAGUAAUUAAAAUGAAAACCAGAAAGAGGGUCCUUGACAAGAGGGCAAGCAAAGACCAAACUCCAACCCUCAGGAGAAUGAGAGUUUAGACAGGAUGUGCCCGAGGACACAGGAACACAGAGUACAAAAAGCCACCUGGUUAUUAUCCAGAUACCCAGCUGGGAAUGGAGGGGCCGCUGCAGCUAGUGCAGUACCUGGGAAACCGGAGCCCCAGUGCUCCCACAUGCUCACGUGCUGACCCUGCUACACAGCAAAUCCCACCCCACCCCACAUUACUUUUUCAGAUGCUUAUAUAAAAAAUCACUUCACUGUAGGGUACAGAAAGCUCCAGAAACUUCAUAUAGGGAGACACUUUCAGGUACUCAGAUGACCUUCUGGGGACAGCUUGGUUUGCUGAGGCUUCUCAGACAGAUCCCUCACUUUGCUUAUUUCCCCAGGUCACUCAUCCCAUUAUUUUUUACCCCCACCAUCUGCUGGCUCCUCCACACAUCAAGGGUUACUUUCCUGCUAAUCUAUUUGGCUUCAACCCCCCAUUUCCAUCUAGAUCAUCCUCUCCUGUCUCCAAGGAUAAAUACUUAUCCAUAACCUGCCCCAAGAUCUGACUGAGACUUCACCAUCUGUGAGAAGGUUGAUUGUUUAGUGUGACCCUCACUCUUCUCUGAUCACGACCUGGUGGUGUCCCCUUCACCUUUAGGCCCCAUUAAGGCUAUUUUUGCAUUAGUUGGCACAUUACGGGAUAAACAGCUUGGGCUGUUACACUUUUGCCUGCUGUGUUUCCUCGCCUAGAUUUCAAGUUUCUCAAACCCAGGACUCAUGGUGAGAACACAAGAAUAUACAUGAUCUUGGCAAUGGGUGAUGAGAGGUGGGCAGGGGUCCCACUGGGACCCCAGAAGAUCUGUCCCUGGCUGUGGUGCAGUUGUUAAGUCUGAGUAUGAUGAAUAAGAUUUUUUUCCCCUACAUAAACAAACACCCUAUGGCACAUUUUUACCAGCCAACAUUCUUUCAUGACUUUUCAGAAACCUAGAAAGGUCAUAAACCUGAGGAAACUCAACCUUGCCGCAUUUUGGAUGGUUGGUGAGAAACACCAAGGAAGACUGCAAAAUAUGCAUGAACUAUAAUUCCCUGCACUGUUAGUAGGACUGUCUCACUGGCAGGUAAUAUUUAACGGGCACCUCCUAUGUGCAAGGCUAUGAAAUGGAAGGUGAGAAAAUACGUAGGGCAAUUUCUGCUUUAAGAAGGUUAAAAAUAGCAAGUGGGUUAUACAAAACAGAUGAUUUUCAAGAGAUUACAUAAAGGACAUUGAAAUCAAGAUUUAAGGGCUAAGGGAGCCCAGAAGAUGACUCGUUCCAUCCAGAGGCAGGGUGGUAGGCUGUAACAGUACUGGUCCCCAGUGAACCACGCCUCUUGGUACACAUACUCUUACAUAUUCCCCUCCCACGUUGACUCUGCCUUGGCCACAUCACUUGAAGCAACAGCACAUAUGACACAAGCAAAACCAUUGUCCUGUGAGCACUGUAUAAGGAAGCCAGUCUAGCCCAAGGGAGGAUGAGAGGCCUUGUGGAGAAAAAGUGAGUGGGCAUCCCCUGCCAGGCAUGUGGGUGAGGCCAUCUGGGUGUACCAGUCCAAUUGACCUUACACAGAGGCCUCCCCUUGUCCAUGGUUCUGUUUUCCAAGGUUGCAUUUGCCCACCAUCAACUGAGACCCAAAAAUAAUAAUGGCAAAUUUCAGAAACAAAUAACUCCUGAGUUUUAAAUUGUCAUUCUGAGUAGCAUGAUGAAUCUCCCACCAUCCCUCUGUAUCCCAGCAGGAUACAGAUAAUAAAGAAUC